GUGGAUCGGAUUAGAUUACCUAUUGAAUAAGCAUGUCAGAUUCAGAUACAAAUUUUUGUUCUAUUUAAUAAAUGAUUGGAUUCAAAUUAAUUAAUUUUUAAUCUAAUCUAUAUCUAAUUUGACCCAUUUCUGAUGCGACUCAAUCCGAUUGCCAUCUCUAGCAUCAGAGUCUACUGAUCCUUCCAGUGACGGAGCAUACAAGGAACCAG
rnacentral:lncRNA from 1 species